rnacentral:misc_RNA from 1 species
UCCGGUUUGUCACCGGCAGUCCCAUUAGAGUGCUCAACUGAAUGUAGCAACUAAUGGCAAGGGUUGCGCUCGUUGCGGGACCUAACCCAACAUCUCACGACACGAGCUGACGACAGCCAUGCAGCACCUGUGUUCCGAUUCCCUUUCGGGCACACCCGGAUCUCUCCGGGCUCUCGGACAUGUCAAGGGUAGGUAAGGUUUUUCGCGUUGCAUCGAAUUAAACCACAUCAUCCACCGCUUGUGCGGGCCCCCGUCAAUUUCUUUGAGUUUUAACCUUGCGGCCGUACUCCCCAGGCGGAUGACUUAACGCGUUAGCUGCGCCACCGAAGCCCUAAGGGCCCCGACAGCUAGUCAUCAUCGUUUACGGCGUGGACUAC